rnacentral:lncRNA from 1 species
CCUACUACACAGCUGAUUUCUUCAAGUUUUUCACUUUAGUAGAAUUCUCUUUCACUUCAGCAGAUUUCUUCCUCAACAUUUAUCCCCAAAGUAAACCCUAGAAAUUAGCUUCAAAUCUCCUCAUUUCCUCUCCUACUCUUUCUUCUUUCUCUUCAGGUAUGUUUGUGUCUUUAUUUUGCUUUUUUCUUUAACAUUUAUUGCCAUCUUUUCUGUUAACUCUUUUCUUCCUACUGGUGUCUUCUACUCCCGCAUAAAAUCACAAAUCGUUGCCUUUUCCAUCAAAUCUUUCCCAUUUUCUUGGUUUUUACUCCAAAUGUCGAUUCGGGUAUUUUUAUUUUUAUGAUUUUAGCCCGCAAAUUUGCUUCUAUAGUUCUUGUUGUUAAAAUUGGAAGGCUUUGAUUUUUUAUACCCAAAAAGAGUUACUCUCUUUUGGUUUGUUUUUGGAAAAAAUCAAAACGUAAGUGGAAUAUAUUCAGAGUGAUGAAUAUUAUAUUUAGGACUCUAUGUAGAAACGAGACUUUAAGUGAGCUUAUUAAGCUCAGGAAUAUAUAUUUCUUUGUACAGAUCUCCUUCAUUUUAUCUAUCUCAUGUGAGAAGUGGGAUGACGGUAUGCUUUGUUUCUGUGAUUUGGAUUGUAAAUUUGGCUAUUUAGGAGUUAGGUGGAAGUAUACCUUUCUUAAUUAGAAAGUUUUUAUCGUCUACAUCUUUUUGGUUAUUAGGAAUCUAAUUUGGGGUUUUGUUUUUUUAUGAGAAAAUAAUGUAAAAAUGAAGUAACUUGCAGAGCUUGUUGUCACUAAGUAUUGGAUCUUCCCCCUUUGGUUGAUUUUGUUUGAAAUGUUGAUUUGGGAGAUUUUUUUUAUAAAAAUUUUAUAAAGAAGUUUAUGAUUUGUGUGUAUGUAUGUUCUCUUUUUGGUUUGAUUCCGUUAGUCCCCAAGAAACUGUGCAAUAAGACAAGGCAAGAAAACGCCUUCAAUAUUUCUUAGUUUACUGAGUGUCCUAGCUCUUUGCUUGCUCCGUCAGAUCUUUGUUUUUGCUUGAUUCAUGCCAAACCAAGAUGUGUUUAAAUUGUUUACGCUCUGGGAUAUGGUGAAUAGUUGGCUAAUUCGUGAACUUUGUUUUCCUCUUUAUUCCUAUUGCCUAGGACUCUUUCAGGUUGUGCCUAAUAAGAAUUUGAAAUAUGAAAUGUGCUAUUGCUUCACUUUUAUUAUUAUAGUAACUAUGUCGUUUUGUUUAAUUUCACUAAGCCAUGACAUUUUUUUCCUUUCCAGUUAGUUGUCUCAAAACUUAGUCCUAGUUAUCUUUUCUUGAAUAACUGCAGCUUUUUUCUUGAGAUUUUAUAUUUUCUUGCCCUUCUGCCAGUUUUUAUUAACUAAAUUAAAUAAGAGAUUGAAGGCUUCAAAGCUAUUGUACGUCGACUCUUCAUUUCCCUUGUAGUACCAAUGUCCAACACCCAUAUCUGACACAUAUUUGAACAUGGCUAUGGGGAAAUGAUUCUUCAAAUAUAUGGAACAACUUAAAAAAGAUUGAGCUUACCCAUAUUGGACUAAUACCUCUGAGUUCGUGUAACAUAGCUUCAUACCUCAGUUCUUUGUUUGAUUGUUGGUUACCUUUUGAGUCAUAAGGUUUCUAGCAUAUAUUGAUUUAGGCAGUUCUUAUGUAUCCAAUUAGGGUUGUAGGUAGCCAUGCUAAAAUGUGAACUAAACCUAUCUAAUGUUAAUAUUUAGAGUUUUUCACUGUCUUGAUUGCUUUGUUCAAGGGCACAAUUUCUAUUGUGAUUUACUUGCUUUGUUUGAUAGAUAAAUUUAUCUUUGAUGCCUUACCUUUUGAUUUAAAAUUAUGUAAUAGUCUCAUGUAAAUCAAAUCCAAAACUACUAAAUUAACACAAGCAUGAAUCUGACUCAGGCUUUGUGCUUUUGCAAUUCUUGCUUAACACAAGCAUGAAUCUUAGUCCAUCUUAAUCAUUUGAUAAUCAAUUGUUUGUAUGAUCCAACUUUGAGAUUGCAGCUAAUGUGGGCUGGUUUUUUUAAUCAUUGCUGAUUUGUAUUGAUAACAUUUGCAUGAGGAUGGACCAUCUUACCAUAUUGACUUCAAAUAUAUAUUAUGCAUAUAUGUGUGCUCAAAUCAUUGGUGAUUGCUUACCACAGUGAGUCAAUGAUAUUAUAUUUAAUUCAAAUCUAAUUUGAUCUAGUAUGCUUCGUUCAUUUAUAAUUGCAAAGUUUCAAUUUUUUUAAUAUCAAAUUGGCACAAUGAAUCUCGAAUAUUUAAUAUUUAAGUUUGUAGUUGUGACUUUCUACUGGUUUAUUGGUUUUCUUUGUUAUUAGUCUAUCCCUACAUUUUGAAGGUAACUUUCUAUUUUGAUUGAUUCAAAAGUUGCGGAUUUUAUCUGGCAUUUACAUGGAUGCUAAGGACAUUUUCAUGUUUUCCAUUGAUUUUGCCUUUGAUUUUUCUGUUAAGUUUAUUUUUAUUUAGAUUUUUUAGUUGGAACCAUUAUGUGUUAAAUGUGUAUCCUCUUGAAAUAAUGGAAUGGUUUGUGUUUUAGCUAAAGGAGUGGUUGAAAGUAGCAACAAGAAGGGAAAAAAUAUCACUUAAGGGUGUGCUAAGGUAGUAACAAGACAAUAUAUACAUGUUAAACUACAUUUACAAUUUGGAUUUGAUCUUUUUACUUUAAACAAGAACAUUUUGGCUAUAUUUAAUUUUUGAUAUGUUUUUAUUUUUGAUAUGUUUCAUUUAAAACUAUUUUAAUCUUUUAAUAUAUAUUUAAACUAUUUUUAUUUUCGAUAUCUUUAGUUUAUGUUAUAUUUAAUUUUGGUCUUCAAACAAUAUUUUAUAUUACUUAUAUUGUUUGAUUAAAAAUUAUAAUUAAAAAAUGUUUUAUAUUACUUAUAUUUUUUGAUUAAAAAUUAUAAUUAACACUACAAAAAUUAUCUCAACAAAAAAAAAAAGUGAAAUGCUACAAACAAAUCAUGUUAUGGUAAGAAUGUGAGGAUGAAUACAAAGUUGCAAAGAUAGCUAAGACACUAUAUACCUAUAAUCGAAUUGCAACGAAUAUGGAGUUUUAGAUUUUAUUUAAAUAAUAAUAAUAAAAUAUUUUAAAAUACAUAAUUUUUACAAUAUUUAACACACUAUAUACCUAUAAUCGAAUUGAGUUAAUACAAAAUAAAAGAAAUUAAGACCUUAUUUUCUUUUCUCAUAAAAAUUAUUAAAUUCAUAUUAUUUUUUUUACUAAUUUUAACUAUUCAAACAAAAUAAUAUAUAUUUUUCUAUUCACAAUUAUUAAUUCAAAUAAAACAUUAGUUAAUUACAAUGUGAGGAUGAAUACAAACUUGCAAAGAUAGUUGUAAUUUCUACUUUGUGCUUUGUAAAAAUUCUUAUGUAUUGUUCAUUUUUCUUUUAUAGUGUGUUAUUAAAAAUCAUGAUUGUGUUGAUGAUAUUUUGGUAACUUUUUGUGUUUGUAAUAUUUGUAAUAUAUAAUCAUGUAACUUUUUGUUAAUAUAUGAAUAUUAUGUUUGGAUGUGAAAUAUAAUUAUCAAGUUUUUUAUUACUUCUAACAUUUUGUUUUUUUCUAUUGUAGAAUAAUUAAAUUAUUUGUUUAACUAAUGAUAUUUUAGCACAUUAAAUAUGUAUUGCAGUUUAAAAAUAAUAAAGUAGAUUAUAUAUUAUUUUUAUUGUAUUAUAUAUUAUGAUUUUUUAAUUCAUAUAAUAAUUAUAUUAAGAAUUUUAUUAAAUUAUAUAUUAUUUUAUUAAAUUAUAUUUAAUAAUAAUUGUAACACCCCUUACCCGAGACCGUUGCCGGAGUCAAGCAUGAGGCGUUACUUGACUUAACGUAAAAGUUCGGGGCAUAAAAAAUUACUUUUAAAAGUUAUUUCAUUGUUCAUAAUAAGGUUGUCCACCUGCGCAGCAGUUACUAAAUUAAUUAUAAAUUGAGCUACGAAACUCAAAAUUUAUAUCUGUAAAUUUUUCCUGAAACUAUACUCAUAUAUCUUUUUACCAUAAAAUUUUCUAAAUUUUUAGUUUAGUCAAUUAGUACAGUUUAUUAGUUAAAGUCUCCCUUGUUUCACUAAUCGACUGUCCUGACCUCUCGUCACUAAAAUUCAAUUAUCUCAUUGUACAGACUUCAUAUAGUGUUCUCACUUGUUUCUACAGAAAAUAGACUCAAUAAGGAAUCUAGAAAUAUAAAUUAAAACUCAUAAAUAUUUUUUAAAAUUUUUUAAUGAUUUUCCAAAUUCAUAACAGGGGAUUCUGAAAACCACUUUGACCUUGUCUAAUUAAAAUGCAAAUAUCUCAGAAUACAUAAUUCAUUUGUCUACAAUAUUUUUUUUUUAUGAAAAUAGACUCAAUAAGCUUUAAUUCUAUAUCUCAUCCACCCUUUAAUUUAUUUUCUACUAUCCUUGGUGAUUUUUCAAAAUCACGUCACUACUACUGUCUCAAAAUUGAUUUAUUACCAAUUUUUACUUUUUCAUGAUUUCUAUGCAUAAUUUAGCACCUAGACAUUUAUAACAACAAACACCUUCAUACUUAGCCAUUUUAAUAACUAUUCAUCAUCAAAUAUUUGCAUAUCAUCUUUUGGUCAUAUCUUAAGAAUAUACAAUCGAAAUGACCAAGUCCCUAUACAUGCCAUAGCUCAAAGCAUUUAUCGUCUUAAAAUACCGAGUUGUGGUGGUUGAUAGUGUGAAUGCUCUCUGAUGUCUUCAAGAUCUCGACUAUGCUUGAUAAUACUAUAUGAAAGAAAAAGAAAUAAAAGAAGUAAGCAUAAAGCUUAGUAAGUUUACAAGUAAAUAAAUAACAACAUUUAUCAUAAACAAUUAUAUUCAUAAAUUUUCAUUAAGCAUUAAGAUCUUUACUUUCUUUUUUACUUACUCUCUUACUCGUUUACUUACUUGCUUGCUUAACUUACUCAUUCAUUGCUGAAAUUUCUUUUCUCAACUGAUAACUGAGAUACUCUUAAUCUUAUUAACUCACCUGAACUUGUCUAUUAGGCUUUUACCUGAACUUUCAUGUAACAUCGUCUAUUUACUAGCCCGUUGAAUUCCUUGGAAUACUAAGGAUACUCGGGUCUCCUGUCUGAAUAUAACAUGCCAAAGCUAUAUCCCAGACAUAGUCUUACAUGAGAUGUUUCUUGUAUUGUCAAUGUCAUAUCCCAGAUAUGGUCUUACAUGGGAGUUCUCAUAUAGGUGCCCAUGCCAUGUCCCAGACAUGGUUUUACGAGGGACCUCUCAUCUCGGUGCCAACACCAUAUCCCAGACAUGGUCUUACAUGGGACCUCUUAUCUCGGUGCCAACGUUAUGUCCCAGACAUGGUCUUACAUGGGACCUCUCAUAAUCUCAAUGAUGCCAAUGCCAUGUCUCAGACAUGGUCUUACAUGGGAUCUCAUCCUCUUAAUGUCAUGACAUCUGUAUCCGAUACAUUCCUCAUGUUUCAACGGGGCCUUUUAACACUGAUUCUCUAUCAUCUCAUACUUGAGUUAACAUUAGAUAUUUUCAUGAAAUAAAUACAUAAUUGCUGAAAAAUAACAGUAUUAAUAAUAAUUAUCAAAAUAUUGCAUUUACUUACCGUAAACUUACCUUAGUACAAAAAUGUGAUCAAAUCUAAUACUUCAGUCCUCAAUCUUUUUCUUUCCCCAGUCUAGCUCAAGAUUUCAUUCUUCGUGAUCUAUAAUUGUAAAUUUAGUUUAUUUAAUACCCACAUUCAUCAAAACAGUCCUCGACUCUAACUUUAAAAAAAUUACGAUUUUUCCCCUAAACUUUUACAUAAUUACACUUGCCCCAAAGUGGAAAUUAAACUUCAUCUCUUAUUCUUAUGUUUUAUAACAUGUUGAAUAUUUUUCCCUUAUAUGUGUAACACCCCGAACCCGAGACCGUCACCGGAGUCGAACACGAGGUGUUAAC